UUUAAGUGUAACUAUGAGUUUCUGCGCUAAACUUUGAUCGCCCGUCUUAUUUGAAAUUUUUUAUUUAGUAUUUUUGUUGUUAUGAGAUGAUAAAACACGAAUAGUACUUUACUCAUGACUUAUAUUUUUUUAAUUUUUUCAAAUAAAACGGACGAUGGAAGUUAGACACGGAAACCAUGGCUGCACUUAAA
rfam:Oryza barthii chromosome 9, whole genome shotgun sequence.